ACGUCACAAGCUGUUUGUUUGUGCUGCUGUUGUGGCUUUCGUGAUUAUGAGCUCUGCAGAUUUUAAUAGAGUAGAGUUUACUUUGCAAACCAAACUGCGAGGGUGCGUGAUCGGACAUGUCGGAACUGUAACAUCCUGAAGAUAGGGACAACGGAAGUCUCCUACGCAGAGCUAUUUCUCUCGAUGGAAUCUGCAAAGUAGACUCCUUUAAGAGGAUCAAGGCGUCAUUGUACAAGACCGAAAUGCUGCAAAGGUGAAAAGACAUGCACAGUAUGCACGGCUGAUAGUCGGUUCAGCACCAAGGACAUGUAGUUACAGUGUGAACUGUUGACACUUGGGUCAGUACCAAGAAUAGGCAGCCUCUAUCAGCAUCACGCUCUGUGGAUCGCUGGACAGAUAGUAGAAUUGACCAAAUACAUGUAGUAUGCUAGGGGAGUCCGUCGGCUGUGGGGUUUAAUUGGCGAGCCACGGAGACUGCGGGGUCGCUGUGUUCUUAACGCCCACUCUCUUGAAAUUGAGAAAGGGUUGUACUAAAAAUACCGAAAAAAAUGUAACUAUUGUAAUUCAAAACCGAUGGAAGACUGAAUACAUUUUACUUCUAACUGCCCCUCUAACGACCAGGAAAGAAAAGCGCUAUUCGAAGAGGCCUGAAAAUCCCACAAAGAUCCAAACGUUUACUUACGAAAAGAACCUACUUAAAACCCACUCAUAUUGCAGAAAAAGUGGAACACUUCGUCUUCUACUGUCUCUAAAAAAGAAGUGAAACCCAAAAAGCAAGACUGUAGUUCUCAUCAGUCCUUAUCAAAAUAGUCACUUGUCCCCACUGUUAUAAAUAACAUUAUUAUCUAUACUUGAGUCUAUUUUCCAUAUACUGUAUUUUUCAGUAUUUUUCCAUAUACUGUAUUUUUCAUGUCAGAAUUAGUCCUCUAAUCGGUGCCUAUAGAGCUAAUAGGUUCGAAGCGGGUCGCGAAAAAUUGAACCCUAAGGCCGGACGACUCUCCUAGGCUAGCAAACUAUUCCCUUUAUUUGACCUUCUUUCAUUUACCCAGCAAUCCGCGGACCCUACAGUGCACGGAUAUUACUUUGUAGUCUUUGCUGAAAUAAAUACAAUACAGAUGCAAAUAUAAGAAUCAUCAAUAAAGUACAACUUUAAUGGA